UACGUAGGGUGCAAGCGUUAAUCGGAAUUAUUGGGCGUAAAGCGUGCGCAGGCGGUGAUGUAAGACAGGUGUGAAAUCCCCGGGCUUAACCUGGGAACUGCAUUUGUGACUGCAUCGCUGGAGUGCGGCAGAGGGGGAUGGAAUUCCGCGUGUAGCAGUGAAAUGCGUAGAUAUGCGGAGGAACACCGAUGGCGAAGGCAAUCCCCUGGGCCUGCACUGACGCUCAUGCACGAAAGCGUGGGGAGCAAACAGG
rnacentral:rRNA from 1 species